GGCUAGUCUGAAGGUAGUGAGUUAUCUCAAUUGACUAUUCAGUUAGUUGCAGACCAAACUCUUUGUUCUACUCUUUCCCCUCUUUCCACUACCACACAUGACUAGUCUAAA
ensembl:misc_RNA Y_RNA Y RNA